UACGUAGGGUGCGAGCGUUAAUCGGAAUUACUGGGCGUAAAGCGUGCGCAGGCGGGCUUUUAAGCCAGACGUGAAAUCCCCGGGCUUAACCUGGGAACUGCAUUUGUGACUGCACGGCUAGAGUGUGUCAGAGGGGGGUAGAAUUCCACGUGUAGCAGUGAAAUGCGUAGAUAUGUGGAGGAAUACCGAUGGCGAAGGCAGCCCCCUGGGAUAACACUGACGCUCAUGCACGAAAGCGUGGGGAGCAAACAGG
rnacentral:rRNA from 1 species